UCUCCUGGCAAGAAGGAUUACUCUCCCUUUUCCGGGGCCAUCUCUCUUCUAUCUCGUAUCGAGUCAUCUCCCCACUUGUGAACCCUGACGUGCCAACCUCUCCCCCAGCUUUUUGGCUUUGUUGUUAUUAUUGCUGUUCUUUGUUUGUUUAAAGAUUUUAUUUUUAAGUAAUCUCUACCCCCAACGUGGGGCUCGAACUCACAACUCUGAGCUAAAGAGUUGCCUGCUCUGCCUCCUGAGCCAGCCAGGCACAAGGUAUUAUUUUCUA